UACAUGGGGUGCAAACGUUGCUCGGAAUUAUUGGGCGUAAAGCGCGCGUAGGCGGUUACUUAAGUCGGAUGUGAAAGCCCUCGGCUUAACUGAGGAAGUGCAUCCGAAACUGAGUAGCUAGAGUACUAAAGAGGGUCGCGGAAUUCCCGGUGUAGAGGUGAAAUUCGUAGAUAUCGGGAGGAACACCGGUGGCGAAGGCGGCGACCUGGGUAGAGACUGACGCUGAGGCGCGAAAGCGUGGGGAGCAAACAGG
rnacentral:rRNA from 1 species